ACACGCGAGAGCCCGAGGCGACAGGCUAGGCCGCCAGCAGGUGCCCUGGCAGGAGGGACUGGCUUAUGCCACCCUGUGCAGGAUCGUCUUCUCAGCUUACAGAGCCUAGUGUGAUUCAACAACCCUCCAUCUCUGCCCCCAACAUGCCCAACUGAUCUGGUGGAGGGAACUGAAGAUGAAGGCCUCUCAGGCACCAUGGAUGGGAUGGGUGUGUGUGAAGGGGGCAGGGUCCCCAGGAGCUGCCCCAGGUCUGGCUGGACAGUUGCACGGGAAGUCCUGUUUGUGAACUCAACGUUUCCACGGCUUUUCCAUUAAACUUUACCCCAAAUCA
rnacentral:lncRNA from 1 species